rnacentral:rRNA from 1 species
AUACGUAGGGGGCGAGCGUUGUCCGGAUUUAUUGGGCGUAAAGGGUGCGUAGGCGGCCUUGUAAGUCAGAUGUGAAAGAUCAUGGCUUAACUGUGGUAAGCAUUUGAAACUGCAGGGCUUGAGUACAGGAGAGGAGAGUGGAAUUCCUAGUGUAGCGGUGAAAUGCGUAGAUAUUAGGAGGAAUACCAGUGGCGAAGGCGACUCUCUGGACUGAUACUGACGCUGAGGCACGAAAGCGUGGGGAGCAAACAGGAUUAGAUACCCUGGUAGUCCACGCUAUAAACGAUGAGUGCUAGGUGUCGGGGGUCAAACCUCGGUGCCGCAGUUAACACAUUAAGCACUCCGCCUGGGGAGUACGGCCGCAAGGCUGUAACUCAAAUGAAUUGACGGGG